rnacentral:rRNA from 2 species
UACGUAGGUGGCAAGCGUUGUCCGGAUUUACUGGGCGUAAAGGAUGCGUAGGUGGAUAUGCAAGUCAGAUGUGAAAUACCCGGGCUUAACUCGGGUGCUGCAUUUGAAACUAUAUAUCUAGAGUGCAGGAGAGGUAAGUGGAAUUCCUAGUGUAGCGGUGAAAUGCGUAGAGAUUAGGAAGAACACCAGUGGCGAAGGCGACUUACUGGACUGUAACUGACACUGAGGCAUGAAAGCGUGGGGAGCAAACAGG